rnacentral:rRNA from 1 species
GAUGAACGCUAGCUACAGGCUUAACACAUGCAAGUCGAGGGGAAACGAUAUUGGAAGCUUGCUUCCGAUAGGCGUCGACCGGCGCACGGGUGAGUAACGCGUAUCCAACCUGCCCACCACUUGGGGAUAACCUUGCGAAAGUAAGACUAAUACCCAAUGAUAUCUCUAGAAGACAUCUGAAAGAGAUUAAAGAUUUAUCGGAGAUGGAUGGGGAUGCGUCUGAUUAGCUUGUUGGCGGGGUAACGGCCCACCAAGGCGACGAUCAGUAGGGGUUCUGAGAGGAAGGUCCCCCACAUUGGAACUGAGACACGGUCCAAACUCCUACGGGAGGCAGCAGUGAGGAAUAUUGGUCAAUGGGCGAGAGCCUGAACCAGCCAAGUAGCGUGCAGGAUGACGGCCCUAUGGGUUGUAAACUGCUUUUAUAAGGGAAUAAAGUGAGAGUCGUGACUCUUUUUGCAUGUACCUUAUGAAUAAGGACCGGCUAAUUCCGUGCCAGCAGCCGCAGUAACAC